rnacentral:lncRNA from 1 species
GGGUUUUUCGUUUUGUUUUAUUUCCUUAGGUACAAAACACUAAACAGGAGGUGAGCUCGUCCACAUUCAGCGAUUGUUUUCCCCCCGCUUUUUCGGAUUUUUUUUCUUUCCACAAACAAGUUUCGUUUGCUGGUUAAUUUUUUUUUCAUCCUUUUCACCAGUAAAGAUUAUGAGCAUUUAUUUAAAAACAGGAAAGUCAAAAACAAAAAAAGAGGAGAGAAUAGCACUAUGGUAUGUA